ACCAUUCUCGUACCCAGAGCCCUUCUUACGCGCGGUGCGACGAGGGGCUCUGGCCAAAUCCAUAACCGGAUACCAUAAAAACAUGGUAAGAAAACAAUAUCCAGUGUUAGAACUAGCCAAUCAGAUGCCAGUUCGGAUAUGGAUUUGGCCAGAGCGCCUCGUCGCACCGCGCGUAAGAAGGGCUCUGGGCACGAGAAUGGAUCAGCACCGCCUCAUUCUCGUACCCAGAGCCUUCUUACGCGCGGUGCGACGAGGGGCUCUGCUCAAAUCCAUAACCGGAUACCAUAAAAACAUGAUAAUAAAAUAUAUCCGGUAUUAGAACAAUAACCUUCGUUGUAGCCAAUCAGAUGCCAGUUUGAUAUGGAUUUGGCCAGAGCCCCUCGUCGCGGUCCGUUGACCGCGCGUAAGAAGAGCUCUGGGUACGAGAAUGGCACUGCCUCUGAAAUUAGUCUGCUGUUUCUCCGCAGCUCCAGUGG